UAAUUUUAAAAAUAAAUAUUACUUUCAAUAAAAAAAUAAUGUUUAAGGUCCGAAUAAAAAUGCGUUCGUAAAAAUUAUGUUUAAAAUGUAAAAGGUCCGAAUCGUUGGUCCUAAGAGAGAAUCGCCCAUAAUUUCCGGUAAACUAACUUACUUCAACUUCGGAUCAAUUUACACGGGACAAAGGUGAAAGAAUAACAAGUAAUGUUGAAGACAAGUAAAAAAUUAAUAAAAAUAAUGGCAUCUGAGUUGAAUUAAGUAACUUCUUCUUAUAUCAAUAUUUUAUACCUUAAUUUAAAAGAAUGCUUAUAACCAUUUUAUUAUUGAAAUCUAAUACUUUACUAAUGUUAAAGAGCAGACCAAUUAAUAUUUACAAAUAUCCACAUGUAGAUAAAACUUAAUAGUAAUUUCCCUUAGUUAUUAUCUUAUCACCAACAUUAACGUAAUAUUGUCCACUGCUAAACAUAGUCGUCUCUCAAGGAGAUCUCAUAGAAAGUUAGGUUUGCUUUUGGUCGACGUUACCAGUCGAUACAAUUACACGAAAUGUGUAAAUGUUUCGCAAUUAUUACACGUGCACUAGAGAUGCCCCAGGUAAAAAAAAAACAAACAGUUACUAUGACUUGACUGUUACAGCGAAAAAAUACUAGUGACAUAAAACUAAUGUACAGUUAUUUCUAAUUCAUGUUUCUAUAAUAUUAAAGAGAGUCAAAAGAAAAACUUUACUGAUACUUUCACUGUUACCAAUUCUGUUUUAUUUUUAUAUCUACAUAGCUGAAUUUACAUUAUGAAACUAGUUUCACGUAUCUAGAAAUCCAUUACUACUUUCUAAGGUAGUAAAAGUAAUAAUGGAUUUCUAAAUGAACGAAACUAGUUUCGGCUUAAGAAACGGUUACGAUAUACGUUCCAACUCUAGCGCGCACAAUAUCAAUGUACUUAUUUCAUAGCAGUGUAACUUCUCAUUGUGAUUGGUAGGGUACACGUAUGUUAAGUGGUAAAUUUCAUAUAUUUCCUGCACUGGACCGAUCACUAGAAUUUCGGCGCCACUCCUUUGCAGAAAUAUGUGAUUUCGGAUAAGAUAUUAUAGCGAGGCCACCUUUCGCGGCGGGUUUCAAAAACUACCCCUAACCUAGCCGACAUUGGCGCCACAAGCUCGCUGUAAUUUUAUCCUUUUACCAAACAUGUCAGAUAUUUCUAGCACUGGACCGAUCACUAGAAUUUCGGCACCACUCCUUUGCAGAAAUAUGUGAUUUCGGAUAAGAUAUUAUAGCGAGGCUACCUUUCGCGGCGGGUUUCAAAAACUACCCCUAACCUAGCCGACAUUGGCGCCACAAGCUCGCUGUAAUUUUAUCCUUUUACCAAACAUGUCAGAUAUUUCUAGCACUGGACCGAUCACUAGAAUUUCGGCACCACUCCUUUGCAGAAAUAUGUGAUUUCGGAUAAGAUAUUAUAGCGAGGCUACCUUUCGCGGCGGGUUUCAAAAACUACCCCUAACCUAGCCGACAUUGGCGCCACAAGCUCGCUGUAAUUUUAUCCUUUUACCAAACAUGUCAGAUAUUUCUAGCACUGGACCGAUCACUAGAAUUUCGGCACCACUCCUUUGCAGAAAUAUGUGAUUUCGGAUAAGAUAACAUGUAGGCACACGAUCACAAGUCUCUCGGGGGUUCUUUCUCAACUCUAACUUCACACAAUAGUCAGUGGGAUAAGGUACACGUAGUGAAUUAGGUACAUAACAUCACAUUAAGUACUUGAACUUACGUAAUUGUGAAAUACAAUAUCAGUGCUCAAAAAACGCAGUGGCAGUUCUAAAUCGGUAAGUUCAUGCAUCAUAUUAUUAUCGUGCGACCAUGUAUCAUUUUAAAAUGAACAUUGUAUGAUUGCGGCGUUCUAGCUCGCUAUCGAUCGAUCGGAGCGGAGCGGCAGCGCAGCGGAGCUCGAUCGAGAGUGAGUUAGAACGCCCAAUU